rnacentral:snoRNA from 1 species
CGGGUGCAGCCGUGCCGGGCAGGACGACGCCAUGUUGGUGGUGUGGUGAUCCAAUCGGCUCGGCGAGAC